rnacentral:rRNA from 1 species
GACGAACGCUGGCGGCGUGCUUAACACAUGCAAGUCGAACGAUGAAGCCGGAGCUUGCUCUGGUGAAUUAGUGGCGAACGGGUGAGUAACACGUGAGUAACCUGCCCUCGACUCUGGGAUAACUGCUAGAAAUGGUAGCUAAUACCGGAUACGACCCUCGGAGGCAUCUCCAGGGGGUGGAAAGAAUUUCGGUCAAGGAUGGACUCGCGGCCUAUCAGCUAGUUGGUGAGGUAACGGCUCACCAAGGCGACGACGGGUAGCCGGCCUGAGAGGGUGACCGGCCACACUGGGACUGAGACACGGCCCAGACUCCGACGGGAGGCAGCAGUGGGGAAUAUUGCACAAUGGGCGCAAGCCUGAUGCAGCAACGCCGCGUGAGGGAUGACGGCCUUCGGGUUGUAAACCUCUUUUAGUAGGGAAGAAGCGAAAGUGACGGUACCUGCAGAAAAAGCACCGGCUAACUACGUGCCAGCAGCCGCAGUAA